GACGAACGCUGGCGGCGCGCUUAACACAUGCAAGUCGAACGGAAAGGCCUGCUUUCCCUUGUGGAUUGCGGGUACUCGAGUGGCGAACGGGUGAGUAACACGUGAGUGAUCUGCCCCCAACUUGGGUAUAAGCCUGGGAAACUGGGUCUAAUUCCCGAUAGGACUGCAGGGUGGUGCCUGUGGUGGAGAACGAUUUUCUAGUGGUUGGGGAUGAGCUCGCGGCCUAUCAGCUUGUUGGUGUGGUAAUGGCCUACCACGGCGGCGACGGGUAGCCGGCCUGAGAGGGUGGACGGCCACAUUGGGACUGAGAUCCGGCCCAGACUGCUACGGGAGGCAGCAGUGGGGAAUAUUGCACAAUGGGCGGAAGCCUGAUGCAGCGACGCAGCGUGGGGGAUGUCGGGCUUCGGGUUGUAAACUCCUUUCGACCGCGAGGAAGCCACCUGGUUGGAAGGGUGGUGACGGUAGUGGUAGAAGAAGCACCGGCUAACUACGUG
rnacentral:rRNA from 1 species